rnacentral:tRNA from 1 species
AUAAGCUGACGGGCUUCUAUCCCGCAAAAAUUUGGUUAACAACCAAACGUCUUUAACCAGCGGACUUCAACUUA